UACUACUCCUUUUCUCCCAUUCGGGUCAAUCCCCCAAUUGUCCUCUCCUUUCCUAGCGCGAUCCCCUUUCUCCCUCCGUCCCCACGCCGACGCCGCCUCCUCCCCGACGACCUCGCCGGCCACGACGCCGUAGUCCUCUACCGCACCACCUUCCCUGCUCCCCCAGACCCGCGCCGCCCCGUGCCUCCGCGAAACCCUAGCAGAGCUAGCGGCUGCUAGUCCGGCGUCGAAGACCAGCCGCCGGGUGCUGCCCUCGCUCGAUCUCCUUCACGUCGUCCGCAUCAAGCUCGCCAGCCUCGGCGUUGGGAACCCGCCUUCGUUCCGCUGCUGCCUGGCCGCCGCGAUGGGCUUCUGUGCCUCGCCCCAAGCUGCGACGCCGUGUGCCGCUGCAGACGUUCCAGGGCCGCCGUGUGCUGCUCUUCCUCGCCCCUCGCCUCCGCUCCAAGAUCGAGGAACUGCUCUUCCUGGCCGCUCGCCUCCGCUCCAUCCUGGCCGCCUCGGCAUCCGCCUCCAGCCCAAAGAGGAACCUUGAAGAAAAUAAACUAGCAACUUAGGGAACAGAUAUUCCUUAGGAUCUUGUUCCCGACGGAAGUUGCUUCAGGAAUCCCUAAAGAAGGAGAGCCAGCUAAGAUGCGGAACAGCUGCGGCCAGCGUUGAUGUGUUCGUGUUCGAAGACCUAAUGGCGGCAGAGUGGAAGCGGUUGACGGAGGGAGCAGCGGACGGUGAGGGAGCGGCGGCGGACGAAAAGAGAGCUGCGGUGGCGGACGCCCUCUCCGAGGAGCGGUGGCGCGCGGUCGUCCGGACGGGAAGAUGUUGUCUUGAAUCAGACGUAUUUUGGAACGUUGUAAAAUUGAGCAGAGUAUCUGUACAACGUGGCUCUAGCUGGCCCCACCCUUAUAAUAUUGCUUAAUUAAUGUAAUAGCAACUAUAUGGUGAAUGUGGACGUUCUGGUGACUAGUUUUUUUUUAA